rnacentral:misc_RNA from 2 species
GGCCAGGUUUUAGUAUAUACGAGUUUUUGAAAUAAAAAAAAGGAGCAAUCCCCCCUCUUGAUAGAACAAGAGGAGGUUAUUGCUCCUUUUAGAUAUUUUCAAUCUCGGC